GUUCAUUCACCAAACUUUCCGAUCUCUCUUACUCAAGCUUUUUGGUCUGCCAUCUCCUUAUGAUCGUCGUUUGCCGGAGGAGAAUGAAGUUGAAGUUGAGGUUGAGGUUGUGGAAUUGUCGUCGAGGGCAUACGCGAAACCAAAGAAAGUAGUGGAGAAGCCGCCAGAUCCUAGUCCAGGCAAGCCUGGACGUAAAAACUAGAAAAAUGUCAAUUACGAGAACAAGCCUUUCUAGUUUCUUUACUUUGAUUAAGUAAUAAUUUUAUGAAGACAUUCUUGAUUCUUCCUUUGUCUUUUCUGCUAGUAAUGUAGUGUAUAAUUGAAGACUUGUGCUGUAUAAUUCCUGAAGAUUGCGUCCUGUAUUUCUCUUAAGACAUAAUAAGAAAAGACAAAAAUACUUGAUAUGGUGUGGAUCGUUCAAGUUGUGUAAGAAAUAAGAAGAUUAUAUCAUCUUUUAAGAAAACUAACUACAUGAAUAUACUAUAACGAUCAAUUCGAUCUCAAACCUCGAAAUAUGUAUAACCAAAAUACCUUAUCACAACAACAAACAAACAUAAAGCAAAUCAAAUAAUCAAUUUGGCUAAAAAUAUAAAACUAUUUGCAUGUAUAGUGUGCAGUCACGUGGUGGUGUCUGGCUCUCCGUAUAUCUUAAGAAAGAGAGUGAUGAGGUGGGACUGCUAGUGCUAGUAUAGUAUCUCUGUCGUCCAAAUUUAAUACUGUUACGUAAAUAAGAUGAAAUACUCUAUUUAUUACCUUUCGCUACAUACACGUGAUAUGUAACUACCCUCGAAUAUACUACCAAAUAAAUCAUUAUCUAAAAAAUUACAAAAUGGCAUUGAGUUUUGAAUAUUUGCAGAGAUUAAAAACCAAAGAUUUCUCUUAUUUGGAAAAUGUAAUUUUAUAAAUCGAUGUUUUGGAUUUGGGAAAACUAAGUUCUUGAUAACCAAUCCUUUAAUCGAGCUUACGGGUUCUCACAAAGUGGAACAUUGUGUAUUGUGUACUAGCAUCUUUAAAAAACAGAAAGAGACUGCCACUCUUUAAUGGAUCUAAUUCGCCGCUUUACAAUUUGCAUUUAAAGGAUGAGUGAUCUUUUUGGUAGCAAAGACAAUUUUGAGGAGAGAGAGUCACACACACACAGAGAAGACAAGAGACAAGAGAAGAUGCAGCGAGAGAAAGAUAACAAAAAAGAUUGUUGCAAGGUCAUUCCUCAACCUGUUAAGGCUUUCAUCAGGUGUCUGAGAUUCAGACGCUCGUCUUCUUCUUCUUCAGACAUGGCCAAAGCAAAAACCAAGAAAAAAUGUAAAAGUAAUCAUUCUCUCUCUCUCUCCUCUCUAAAACUUUUCUUCUUCUUUUUGUGUGUGCGCGUUUAGCUACUGUUUUUUAUUUGGUGGUGCAGGAGGAGAAACUAGAAGAUUCAGCUAUUGAAACUUCAACGAGGGAUAUCAAGUUAAUGGGUAGAAUGAUAAGGAAGCAACCGGUUAGCUUAGGAAAACGAGGUGGAGUUAACAACUACGACAUGUAGCUAAGAGUCUUCUUUAUGUAGAACUGGAUCUUGUUUAGUUGUUUACUCUCUAAACGAAACUUGCUUUGCUUCUCAAGGAAUAAUGAUGUCAGUAUUAUAUAA